ensembl:snoRNA
GGGCUGCACCUGCACGUGGCGCCAGGGGUCAGGCUGCAGCGCCAGAGGACAUGCUCACACAUAACUGGGGCCACCUGUUUUGAUGGCAGCCCUUUGAACUGUGAGCUACAUAG